rnacentral:rRNA from 1 species
GAUGAACGCUGGCGGCGUGCCUAAUACAUGCCAGUCGAGCGAACAGACGAGGAGCUUGCUACUCUGACGUUAGCGGCGGAUGGGUGAGUAACACGUGGCUCACCUACCUAUAAGACUGGGAUAACUUCGGGACUCCGGAGCUAAUACCGGCUAAUAUCUUGUACCGCAGGGUUCAAUAGUUAAAGACGGUUUUGCUGUCUCUUAUCGAUGGAUCCGCGCCGCAUUAGCUAGUUGGUCAGGUAACGGCUUACCAAGGCGACGAUGCGUAGCCGACCUGGGCGGGUGAUAGGCCACAUGAGAGCUGAGCCGCGGUCCAUGCGCCUACGGUAGGCAGCAGUAGGGAAUGUGCCGCAAUGGGCGAAAGCCUGACGGAGCAACGCGACGUGAGUGAUGAAGGUCUUCGGAGCGUAAAACUCUGUUAUUAGUGGAGAACAAAUGUGUAAGUAACUGUGCACGACUUGACGGUACCUAAACAGGAAGCCACGGCUAACUACGUG